UGGGCGAAAGCCUGAUCCAGCCAUGCCGCGUGUGUGAAGAAGGUCUUCGGAUUGUAAAGCACUUUAAGUUGGAGGAAGGGCAGUAAGCGAAUACCUUGCUGUUUUGACGUUACCGACAGAAUAAGCACCGGCUAACUCUGUGCCAGCAGCCGCGGUAAU
rnacentral:rRNA from 1 species